rnacentral:rRNA from 1 species
UACGAAGGGGGCUAGCGUUGCUCGGAAUUACUGGGCGUAUAGGGCGCGUAGGCGGACAGUUAAGUCAGAGGUGAAAGCCCAGGGCUCAACCCUGGAAUUGCCUUUGAUACUGGCUGUCUUGAGUGCGGGAGAGGUGUGUGGAACUCCGAGUGUAGAGGUGAAAUUCGUAGAUAUUCGGAAGAACACCAGUGGCGAAGGCGACACACUGGCCCGUAACUGACGCUGAGGCGCGAAAGCGUGGGGAGCAAACAGG